UAGCCUUCCUAUCACCAGUGCCGUGCCCCCCACCCUGCCACCGCCCCACCAAGGGGAAGGGCACCUGAGGGGCAAACUACUUUUCCAUUGCUCAUAUUUUUCUGCAUAACUCGAAACUGGGACUUGAUGAGACUGAUGCAACAACUGAAAACAGAGGUCUGCUGGAUACCCUAGUCUGGACCUUUAUGUUGUCCUGUGGCCGGAAAAUUGUUUGCAGAGGUGAAGGCCAGGAGGUUCCUGUUGCAGUGUUCACAUAUUUUAAUCUCUCCAAGAUGUCCUAGAAGCUCACUGCAUUUCUCCAAGGCUGUCACCCAGUCUGAUGUACUCUCUUGGUAUACACUGUGCACAGAUCACCUUAUCUCCAACCGUUUCAUGUGAAAGGCUGUUUGGGAUACAGAACACAUAUUGUUCCAUCAGACAUUGUGCUCCUGCGAUAUCGACACACUGACUCACAGUCUCUUGGUUUUAUAACCCCAAUUACCCUUAAAGGAUAAUUGGGUUUUAAUUUAUGUCCCAGUUUUUAUGUCACAAUCAAAGAAAACUGAAAUUUCAGUGAGUCGUAAUUAUCAUCAGCUGUGCUGUGGAAACAUUCUGAUGUGAGCUCUCAGUUUCCAAUAGGGAAAGCAAUUUCCUGAAGUGAUUAUUGUAGACUUCGAUGUGGAGAAUGGUCUGUAUUUCUGGGUAGGGUGAGCCGGCGACAGAGCAGGGCAAUAAUUCCUAGAGACAUAACCAUUUUCUUUGCUAAUUCCAGGAGUCAGUCUGAAAGGGAAAGGGGCAAUAAAUGUGCCACAUGAUUACCUUUUAAUAACUGAGAGCUGUAGCUGUUUAGGAGAAAAAGAAAUGAAAUGUAUCUAUUACUAGACAGACCAAGGUGGUAGUAAAUCUAAUCCCAGAAAAUGUUCAGGUCAUGCAGUCCCACUGGGAGAGAAACAUACAGGGUCAUUCUAAAAUUACUGGGUCAUUAUAUAGUCUCCUGCCCAGAACAAUCUGACAGUUAGGUAUGGGAAUUGUGUACCACCAAAAUAGCUAACUGCAAGGAUGCGUUCAUCAUGAAAAUAUCCACUCCUGGAAAUUCAGAGAUUCACAGUUUCACCUUUUGCAUGUGUAAUGCCUGUGGGAUAUAAAUAACUCUCCCCUAAAGCAGGCUUCUUGAGUAGCGUAUUUGCAUAAACUGCAGCCUCAGAAGACUUCUGACACCUCUGUUAAAGAAAAAAAGAAAGAAAGAGAGAGAAAGAAAGGGGGAAGAAAGUUGUUCAUCUCUUGAAAGAACAGGCUGAUUGAGAUUCACAGAAAGGGAUGGGCAAGGCCCAGCCUUCACUCUUUUUGCUGAAGCCCUGUUCCCAGAGGUCCCCAUGUCAACUUUAGAGGAGCUAAUUCAAAAGGCAACUUCAUAUCUAUGGGCACAGGGUGUAUAUACUAACAAUUUAUUUCAUUAAUGUCUUUGCUGACUCCCAAGAAAAGCUCAGGGUGGAUAUUUAGAGGGAAGGGGACUUUGGGAUAAAGGGUGAGGUCUAAGGUUCUAGGGCCAUCCACAAGGCAAAGAAUGUAGGGAACUCCUGGAUGUAUGUCUUGGAUUAUGAUUUGUAAGGACAGUUGGUCUGGGAGUGUAUUCUGCAGCAUUCGAAAUCAAGGCCUUGUUAAGUCAGAAUGUAAAAUUCAGAGAAAAAGGCCGGACCUCAAAAAUACAACGUGCUGCUGACAAGGGCACCAAUGUCAGCUCUGAAAGAUCUCAUAAAGAGCUCUGUUAUUCCUCAGAAAGAUCUUUAGCUCAAAGGAGUUGCUUUAAAUCCUUAGAUGAGCAUUUUCCCCACAGCUAGGGAAAACGGUAAUAGGGAGAAGAAAUCUUCCCACUAAAUAAAUCAGUGCUUUCUUUUCAACAUUAAACUUGGAUCUUAUUUCUUCUAAAAUGUCAAAAGGGCAAAUGCUGAAAACAGUCAGAAGCAAAACUGUUGUGGUUUGGGGAGUGAAAGAAUUCUUCGCAAUGGCAGACAAGGAAGGAGUCACUGCAUGGGUCGAGGAUGGUUUAGUGGAGUGAGAGAACCUGAGGGCUCGCCACAAAUACCCCAAGUUGAACAGAAAGUGAGGAAAGGAGACACCAAUUCCAAAGUUCAGGGGUAGUACCUAGAUACGCACUUUCUUUCGAAAUCGAAAAAAUGUGCGCGCCGCCUAGUGGCCUGCGGGGAAACUGCCACGGCAAUCUUCAUAGUUAAUGUGUGUAUGGGAGGAAUGGGGCGUUUUGAAAAACUUUGGAUUCAAAUGUACGUUAAGAUGCACUGAUGUUUAAUCUUUUCAUCUGUUUGAAAUAAGUAAACUGGGUAUUUUAUUUGCUGUAAUUUUUAAAAGGGGAAGAGAGCUAAGGGGAGAAAGAAAGAUGAUAACUCAGCGAGGGUGCAAAUGUCUUCCCGGUGGUUGCAGUCCCAAAGCUGAGCUUCUGGUAUGAGUUCAAAACAUUUUGUUGAUUUAAUGAAAGUCUGGAAAAUAAGUGAUGUUAAAAAUAAAACUAUUUCACGUGAAAACUAUCAUAAGCUCUCUUGAGAGUGAAAAAGAAAAAUGAAGGGUGGGGCAUUGAUGGAUAGAAAAGUGACUUGUUUAAUGAAACAAAAUGCAGAGGUUUUAUCCAGAAUUUAACAAUACGGUUUUAUUGUCAUGGUAUUUAUUUUUAACGAAAACUUCUAUUUAAGGCAAGUGAUGCUGUUUUUGAAGCAGAUAUAUAACUCUUAAAAAAUCAAUUUAAGAAAAAUUGUUUUAAGUAAGUAAAUACUAUUACAAGUGGCCAAGAGUUAUGACUAAAAAAAAAAAGUAUAAUUGGUAUUUGAAUGUCUGGUGUUUGAGACAUGCUGUGUGCUGGGGAAAAAAGUACAUAGCCACAAGGAAAAAGCAGGGAACAAAGAAAAAUACCACAUGUAUAUGUAUUAAUUAUGUAUCUUGGUAAUUUAAAUACCUUCUAAGCUCACACUCAUUUUUAUUCUAGUCUUUCAUAGAGUUUAAAGAUGUUGAAAAAAGUUUGGAGGAGUGAAUAGCAUUUGAGUUAGGUCUUGAGUUAUGAGUUUACCUUCAAGAUGACAGGAAAACAGUAAAGGCUGUUCUGGGCAGAAGGAACAGCAUGGACAAAGUUGUAUAAGAAUGAGGAAGUUCCCAGUGUUCGGGCAAUGUGGGGGAUGAGGUUGUAGCCAUGAUCUCAGAUUCCUGCACUGUGGAGGCCCUUUGGUUUUCUCCUUGCCCCAUCAGUUAGCCCUUGCUUAGCUAAAAGACUAGAAAACAAUCUUAAUUCUCUCAUGACCCCCUUGUAUAAAAAGAUUUGUAUGUAAACAAAUCUGUGAUUAAUUCUGGGAAUGGCAUCAUGCCUUGAGGUACAUGUGAAACAACAGACCUGGGUUACAUUACAACAUAGGUCAAUUUGAGAGCAGUGCUAGGUAAGAAGAACUGAAGUGUCUAUCACUCACUUAAUGGUCUUUCCAGAGCUUCCAUUUUGAAAGAUUGAACUGUUUCUACUUUGGUAAGUACAUUUUAGUAGAAAAAUGAAAUAAUUAUACUUGAUAAAGAUUUUGCAGAAUAAAGGUUGAUGCAAAAAGGUCUUGUUUCUGAUGAGCCCUGAACUUGCUAGAAAAACUUAUUCAUCAGAGCUUCCCACUCUUCAUGUGGGUUGGUUAGAAAAUUGUUGUUGUGUUCUUUGAGAGCAGGGAACACAGCCUCCAGCCUUAAUUCUUUAUUUAAAGAUGGCUGCUAGGGAAUAUUUCAGACUGCUUCCUGCCAAGGUUCCCUGCAUAAAUAGCAGUUUGAGUAAUCAAUUGAAGAGGAGAUACAGAUUCUAGGGAAACUCUUGGUAAUGAUCCAUUUGGUAAGCAUGUACCCUUGGAAACUGUACCUUAUCCUCUGCCAAACACAGACCCCUGAUCCCGGAGUGAAAGUCAGCUGUGGACACCUUGCAGGCA